AGUGAGUGUUGCCAGGCAACCGGAGGAGAAGGAGGGGUGACAGGCAGCAGCAAUGGACGUGGAAAGGAGAAGAAGCUGCUUGCCAGGAAAGCUACAGGAAGUCCCUUUGGCUAGUCCAGAGGGGAGGGAAUGAAAGCCCAGACCAGGGCAAGUGCAGUAAAAAAGGAGAGGAGAGACAAAGAAUUUUUUAAAAGAAAAAAAAAAUCUGCUGUGUUUGACUGAUUGGAUACAGAAGGAUAAAACAGACUGGAGUUUGAAUUCCUCCUGGGGCCUGAAUGGACUCCACCCCAUCAAGGGAAAAGCACAGGAGGUACUUAGCAAAGAGGGAAGGAUGAGGAGUUAGUUGGGGGCUAACUGAGCUGGACACGCCCAUAGGACAUCUUGAAAACAUUCAGCAGGUGGCUGCUUAUGUGGGUGGGAAGUUGGUAGAAGGUUUGAUUCUGGAGACCUUAACAGGUGGACAGGUGGCAAGUAGGCGGUAGGAGCUGACAUCGUAGGACACAGUCCCUAUCCUUUCAAGGACUUGCAAGUCACCUGAGGAUGUUGCUAGAAAUCUAGGUAACAACUCAGUGGCUCUUAAGUGGGACCCCAAGCUGCAGCAUUUCUCAGGAUGACGACACAAGCUCCCAGGAGAUGUUGAAGCUGCUGGUCUGCAGACCACAAUUGAACUAUCAAGGUCCUGGAGUGUUUAAGGGCCCCAAGGAAGAAUAUUCAGAGAACGAAAACAGGUAUAUGACAACAUAUACCUGUAGGAACAUCAAUAUUUAAAGAUGCUCUUUGUCUCGGAAGCCAAGGAUGUACAAAGUUUGGACAAAAGCUAUUGUCUUCACUGCCAAAAGGAGCCAAGGGGAGAAGUCAGACUCUCGCAUCUGGUGGAUUCUGCAACACAGAGACCCUGCUCUGCCUCUUGGUAAGUCGUCUCACCAACUGACUGAGACUGAGGCCCCAAGGGCAGUCACUGGGUUUGGUCCAUAUAACACCCCAAGUGCUAACCCAGGGCGGGACACCUAACAGGCAUAAUGGGCUGAAUUCACAGGUUGAAGGCCUAACCUUCAACACCCCAGAAAGUGACACUAUGUGGAAACAGAUCCUUAAAAGAGAUCAUCAAGAUAAAAUGAAGUCUGUUUGACUGGGUUACUUGGUUGUACAGCAGCAAGUAUCACAACCCUGUAAAUGAACUAUACGUCAAUAAAGCUUAAAAACAAUUUACCUCUCACAAUAACAACAACAACAACAACAAAGAUAAAAUGAAGUCAUUAAAGCGGGUAUGACUGGCGUCCUUAGAAGAAGAGGCAUUUGAACAUGGCUACGCAGAUACCCAGAGGAGGAGUGUGAGAACGCGGCCAGAAGGCGGCCGUCUGCAAGCCCAGGAAAGAGGUCUCAGAAGAAACCAAUGCUACCAACACCUCCGUCUCAGACUUCUAGCUUCCAGAAGUGUGAAAAGAUACACGUCUACUAUUUAAGCUCCCCCCCCCCCCCCGCCCACCCCGGCCUCCCCGGGCCCCGUCUAUGGUAUUUUGUAAGGACAGCCCAGCUCAGAGAGUGGGCGUUCAAUAAUGACCCACUGACAUUGUGUGGAAAAGUGUGUCCUGGCAUCCUUAAAGACUUGGAGGUCCCACACCUCAUUCCACUGGCCUCUUCUGGUUCUGGUGUAGCAGGAAGUCUGAGGUGUCUUGUCCACGCAUGAUCCCCUGUCCUGUGCUUCGGUGACACCUCCAUGAAAGACCCUUGGCUGUGGCACAGGGAUAUGAGAUGCCCGAAGUUGAGUUGCAGGAGCUGCAGGAGAGGAAUGGGGAAAGCACCAUAGGUGGAUCUGAUGGGACCCCUCUUCGGAUGGUGUCCCCUCCCGGGAAGCUAAGUGUCCAAGAAGUGUCAAGGCAGAGGGGACACUGGGCUUUGCCUUUCUGCCCAAGGUGAUUGGCUUACUUAUUUAGGACCAGUCUUUUUUGCAAUGACUGUCAUCUCAGUGACUAAUGGGUAAACUGAGGUCAGAUGGCAACUGACUCGUGUGAGGACGUCAUGCCAGAGGAACUAACCAAAUCCCACCCUCCAGACUCACGACCGAUGGGAUUUAAAUACUUUAAACAGUGCAUAUUCCCUGCUCUGUCAAUAUUUCUAAGACGGACCACCAGCAUUUAAACAAUGCCCUCAUGCAGCACUACCCCCCUAGGAUUCCCCAAAAUCUCAAAUACUUUCAUUUAAACAAAUGGCAUUCUUGAAUAUAUGUGUUCAAACAAGCCCUAUCGGAAUACAACUGAACAUAUCACUUUAAAACAAUUUGCUCAAGAAGAGCGCGAAUUCUGUUAAGGUGAUGGUUGCGUGCUGAGAAAACAUGACAAAACUUCCUCCAGGUGGGAGGGGGAUAGAGCAGGAGGAUUUUCCAGUCCUGCUUAGGGCAUCCAGGCAUUUUCUUCUUCUCUCAGAUGCCUGGCACCUAGCAGGGCUCCCUUCUCAAAAGGCACGUCACUAAACUCUAAAAAGAACCGUUGAAGGAUUUAUGUCCCAUUUGCACAAGGAAGAUACUCAAGCAACUAGCCCCUGGAACUACACAGAAUAAGUGGAGAGGCCAAAAAUUUAUCUCAAGUUCUCCUGACUCCAAAGCCUGCAAGUUCUCUACAAUUAGCAGCUUCUUUUUAAGGAAUUCUUCUUCCCUUCAAGGUUAACCAUGUGGUUCAUUUUCUACUGAUUUGCCUGAAUACCCAGCAGUCACCCAGUUAGACCGGAAGUCUAAUCCCACAGGACCAAGCUGGUAACCUCUUGAGGCCCCUUACCUGGGAACCAAAGUCACCUUUUUUCCUCCAUCCAGUCCCUUGUGCUCUGUUAAUCAGGAGCCCCUGAUCCCCGUUCAAAGAAGACCAUUGUCUGGGAUCUGAAUUGCUCAUUCCGUAACCAUUUCAAAUGAUCCCUCUGUUUACCUGCAAAUUUCAGGAAGAGGCCAGGCUCUUUUAUGAACUGUUGUCUCUGUGAUCAAAGCAAAUCAUUCAGCCUUGGGAUCAAAGAGACGCUGCUCUCGGCUGGCCUCCUUUUCCAACCUGCGCAGCUCCCACUACCGAAGCCAUAAUUAAAAAAUGGUUCAGCUCAAGAAUUCUGAUUACAAUGCAGAAAUGACCUUGUCACCAGCAGGCUUCGAACACAGCCACAGAGCAGGCCAGUCUAAGCUUCACUAUUGUGAGCAAUUACGAUGAGUAAAUACUGUGAUCAUGCAGUUCAAUAGGCUUUGACUGUUUCCAACCUACUAAUUGGCCUUAGAAAUCUUGGGGGCACCCAGCCCAACCCAUAGAGAAAGAGGAAGAAGAGGACAAGAUGGAUGGGGGACCAAGGGGCUGAGAAAUAUGCCCCAAGCCUUCGAAAUCUCCGCAGCUUCUUCUCAGCACUGUUUGCCAACUGGAACGCUGAGAGCUUGUAAAUAGAAGCAUCACUGGGUGACAUCCUGUGUCUGGGGUAGUUUAGUGAAUUAUGACUGCAGCUGACACAAUAUGCAAAACAAACCUCUCAUUUCCCAGGCAGAUACCAUUCAGCAGCUGGAAAGAUCUAGAUUGCCCCCAAGGAGGAGACGUGGGAGGGAAGUCUUCUGAAAUGUGACUUAUUAUUAAGGGUUGGAGUCGAGGGCAAGGACCCAAGACAACUUAGCUGAGUUCCUCCAAAGGUGGGGAGGUCAGAAAAAUAAGUCAUUUUUGCAAAACAUGCUAAAUCAUCCCAAUCAUAGGAAAAUAAUCGCUGGCCAGCCCUGGUGAUCCUGAUGGAGCAAGUUCCAUGCAGAGGGCCCUUGUUUAAAAGCAAUCAAGACUAAGACCUCUGAAACUCAGCUCCUGCGAGGGGGGGUAUCUCGGUCACUUGGGAGAAAGUGCAGCAACCUGAGGGUUUUGAGUCUUUUCUGCAGCUAGGCUACUGAUGGCUGCUUGAAAAAGCCAGGUGAGAGCUCUGCCUUGGAAGCGAGUGUUUAGAGGAUUCCCCUGCUAUUGCAUUUGACAGAAUGCUGCCGUUAACCAUGCUCACCUCAACUUCCCCACCCAAGAGGUCGUCAGGAAUCAUGGCACAGGUGACCUGGCUACUGGGCUUAUGCUUCUCCUAUAAUCUUCAACCUGGUCUAGUUCUUAUCCAGCAGAUGCGACGUGAGGGAUAAGAGGGCUGGGCAAUGGGAAGAAUAUGCCCAGACCUGAGGAAGAGGAAGGGAAACAGAUUCUGAUUAUGCGAGUUAGGAAAGUGUCCCACCCAGCAUAGAGCCCAGACCCCCUCGUCUUUGUCUCUAGAUGCCCUAAGAGCAUCCUAAUGGCAUCUGUUCACGGCUGCACAUGCAGACACUGUGAAAAACUUGCCCGACACAACGGUCGUACAUAGACCCAGGUAGGUCCCAUUUAUUGCACCUGUUUUGCAGAUGAGGAAACUUGAGGCUGUUCAGGUUGGGUCACUUGCCCAAGUUCACAUGCCAGGAAGUAACAGAGCCAGGAUGUGAACUCAAGUUUUCCUGACAGAGUCUGAGUUGGAACUUCUACUUCUGUCUGCUUAGGAACUGCUCAAGAAAAUUUGCAAAUUUACCUCAAAUGGAUAAAUGAGUGCCCAUAUGAUGACUAAAUAAAUGAAUAAUAUCUUUACCUUGGAGAAGCCCCCAAGUUCUUUUACCAGACCAAAUCUCCGGGUCAUUAAAUUCUUUCUUUAUAUGAGCUCAGGUCUCUGUGACAAAAAUAAACAGUUGCUGCUGUUCUAUUAGUAAUGAUUGAUAAACAAACUCAUUGUUAAUAAUUAAUAAAAUGAAAUAGCACAAUUCAACUCUAUUUUUUUAAAAUUCACCGGGACCAUGGAGUUUCCAUUGUGGCUCAGUGGAAAUGAAUCCGACUAGGAACCAUGAGGUUGCAGGUUCGAUCCCUGGCCUUGCUCCGUGGGUUAAGGAUCCGGCAUUGCCGUGAGCUGUGGUGUAGGUCACAGAUGCGGCUCAGAUCUGCCAUUGCUGUGGCUGUGGUGAAGGUCGGCGGCUACAGCUCCAAUUUGACCCCUAGUCUGGGAACCUCUAUAUGCCAUGGG
rnacentral:lncRNA from 1 species